rnacentral:rRNA from 1 species
UACAGAGGUCUCAAGCGUUGUUCGGAAUUACUGGGCGUAAAGGGCGCGUAGGCGGCCUGCUAAGUCGAACGUGAAAUCCCCGGGCUCAACCCGGGAACUGCGUCCGAUACUGGCAGGCUUGAAUUCGGGAGAGGGAUGCGGAAUUCCAGGUGUAGCGGUGAAAUGCGUAGAUAUCUGGAGGAACACCGGUGGCGAAGGCGGCAUCCUGGACCGAAAUUGACGCUGAGGCGCGAAAGCCAGGGGAGCAAACGGG